UGUACUAAGGUGUAGUUUAUGCAUAAAAGUUUUUGGUGCUUUAGGAGCUUGAAAGUGCAAGCUAGUACAA
rnacentral:tRNA from 1 species